AAACUUUCAACAACGGAUCUCUUGGUUCUCGCAUCGAUGAAGAACGCAGCGAAAUGCGAUAAGUAAUAUGAAUUGCAGAUUUUCGUGAAUCAUCGAAUCUUUGAACGCACAUU
rnacentral:rRNA from 4 species